UUGUCGUAGCGGAUGGCCACGGCGCGGUACUGCUUGCGCCGGUUCAUCAGGCGUUCGAUGUGGUUGCGGCGGC
rnacentral:tRNA from 1 species